GAAAUGCGAUAAGUAAUGUGAAUUGCAGAAUUCAGUGAAUCAUCGAAUCUUUGAACGCACCUUGCGCCUUUUGGCUAUUCCGAAGGGCAUGCCUGUUUGAGUAUCAUGAACACCUCAACUCUCGUGGUUUGCUACGACGAGUUUGGACUUUGGGGGUUUUGCUGGCCUGUGGUCGGCUCCUCUCAAAUGAAUUAGCUUCCCAGCGUUUGGUGGAGUCACAGGUGUGAUAACUAUCUACGCUUGUGGUUUUUUUACCAGAUAACCUUUGGGUUCGCUGGGGCUCAUAAAUGUCUUUCCUCAGUGAAGACAGCUUUUGAACGUUUGAUCUCAAAUCAGGUAGGACUACCCGCUGAACUUAAGCAUAUCAAUAAGCGGAGGAAAAGAAACU
rnacentral:rRNA from 1 species